rnacentral:rRNA from 1 species
AUUGAACGCUGGCGGCAGGCCUAACACAUGCAAGUCGAGCGAGCGGCGGACGGGUGAGUAAUGUCUGGGAAACUGCCUGAUGGAGGGGGAUAACUACUGGAAACGGUAGCUCAUACCGCAUACCAUCAGAUGUGCCCAGAUGGGAUUAGCGGGUAGGUGGGGUGACGGCUCACCUAGGCGACGAUCCCUUGCUGGUCUGAGAGGAUGACCAGCCACACUGGAACGGGGACAGGGUCCAGACUCCUACGGGAGGCAGCAGUGAGGAAUAUUGCACAAUGGGCGAAAGCCGGAUGCAGCCAGGCCGCGUGUGUGAAGAAGGCCUUAGGGUUGUAAAGCACUUGCAGCGGGGAGGCGUUACCCGCAGAAGAAGCACCGGCUAACUCCGUGCCAGCAGCCGCGGUAAUUC